CUCAUCACAGUCCUGUAGCUUCCAGAUCCUCUGCAUGCGUCCGGGAUUGCUGCUUUCAGAGACGAUCUAUUUUAUGAUCCUAUUUCUCUGCUCCAGGGUCGCCCCAUUAUACUGUGCUCCAAGGACGAUACUGAAAGUUCCAAGUUUGCGUAUAAGACCAUCGAGCUGCCUCACACUGUGGACUGCCUCCAGGGCAUCCUGAGCGUGAUUCCGCUGCAGCUGCUGUCCUUCCACCUGGCUGUGCUCCGAGGAUAUGACGUUGACUUCCCCAGAAAUCUGGCCAAGUCUGUAACUGUGGAAUGAGGAUAAGACCGUGACAAGACCAUCACCACCUUUCCUCUGAUUCCAGACCUGUCCCAACAGCAGGGAUGCUACAUGGGAAGAGAAGUGGGCAUCCCACAUGUUCUGCGUGCUCCUGUAGAAUUUGACAGCUUCCACGUGCCUUCUACCCAAGUGCUUUUGCUUACAGCAGAUACUGUUUCUCUGUGUCCUGAAGUCGCCAGAGGAGAAGGGAAUCAUUGUUUACACAUGGGGACCAGAGCAGACUUCUCCACUACUGUGCAAUAGAGAUACAGCUCUCUUCAGAGUAACUGUGAACCUUUUAUAACCAACACUAGAGUUAGUUUUAAAAGACAAAAUAUUUAUAAUGACGAUUGUAUAGCUUUUAAGUUAUUUUUCUAGUAUGUGGCUUUCUGUAGCCGUGGUCACGCCCAAACUGUUCAUCCAGCUACCCGUGCGCUGUGUCCUGGCUUGCUUCUGGCAGGUGGCAUUCAUCUCAGACGUUAGCACAAGGCAUUGGCCCUCCGGACUCCUUUCUCCUUUUCUUUCCUGUCUAGGCUGCUCCUGAAUUCUGUUACGUGGCAUCCAUGAAGCCCCUCCAGCACCCGUCUGUGCUUCCUAUAAGCCCAGUUGAAAUCUCAACCUCCUUCCACACUUUUUUCUCGUGUGUGGCCCAGAUCCCUCCCCCUCUCCAACUUCUGUUGAAUCUGAUCACAGCUCUUUUUAGGCCCAGGCAGCAUUUUGGUCCCUGCUCCUUGCCCAUAUAGUAAAACAGCUUGAAAUAUCCCAUGCAAGAGAGUAGUUUCAAGCGGGCAACUCUGCUCUCGAUUUAAAAGCGUGCACAAUCAAAGUACUAUGCAAUUUUAGGACAAUAAAGAACAUACCAUUUUUUGUGUG